UCACGCGGUGAGACGCCGUAAGAGAGGAAAACGGGCCGGCUCGUUGGUGAGACUCCGCAAGCGUGGUUCUCGCACACCGCUGCCAGGCAUCUUUCUCUCCAACAUGCACUCACUGUGCAACAAACUGGACAAAAUUCAGCUGCUGGUGAGGAGAGACGAAGACUUCUCUACAUCCUCCGUUCUGUCCUUCACGGAGACAUGGCUCUGCGGACCGAUACCGGACUCCGCGCUCCAGCUGGCGGGUUUCUAUGGCGUUAUAUUUGUGCCGCAAUCCUGAGCGCGUAAUUUUAAGUUUUGAGCACAGAGAACUAUAUUUUAGCAAAGAAAAACAUAUUCCGUGCGCGCAGUUUACUCAGAGGGCACCUGAGUAAACUGCGGGCACGGAAUGUUUUUCUUUGCUAAAACAUCUCUCUGUGCUCAAAACCUAAAAUUACGCGCUCAGGAUUGUGGCACAAAUAUAACGCCAUAGGUUUCCAG
ensembl:lncRNA